GACGAACGCUGGCGGCGUGCUUAACACAUGCAAGUCGAACGGAAAGGCCCUGCUUUUGUGGGGUGCUCGAGUGGCGAACGGGUGAGUAACACGUGAGUAACCUGCCCUUGACUUUGGGAUAACUUCAGGAAACUGGGGCUAAUACCGGAUAGGAGCUCCUGCUGCAUGGUGGGGGUUGGAAAGUUUCGGCGGUUGGGGAUGGACUCGCGGCUUAUCAGCUUGUUGGUGGGGUAGUGGCUUACCAAGGCUUUGACGGGUAGCCGGCCUGAGAGGGUGACCGGCCACAUUGGGACUGAGAUACGGCCCAGACUCCUACGGGAGGCAGCAGUGGGGAAUAUUGCACAAUGGGCGGAAGCCUGAUGCAGCAACGCCGCGUGCGGGAUGACGGCAUUCGGGUUGUAAACCGCUUUCGCCUGUGACGAAGCGUGAGUGACGGUAAUGGGUAAAGAAGCACCGGCUAACUACGUG
rnacentral:rRNA from 1 species